GAGCUGCGUUCUCCUCACCACAGACCCUGGCGGGCAACGGGCACCGCGAGGGCGGAGCUGCCUUCUGCAUAGCACAGACCCGGGAGACACCGCAAAGGCGGAGCAGCUUUUUCGGUAGAGACUUUGGGGGCACGGCCUCGCGUCGGGACAACUCGGAGCCGCAUCGACGAUGAUGAUUAUUCCCCACCUUCUAAGAGACAAAGACCAACGAGCCACCACAGCCACCAGUCCCAGAACCCGCCAAUGCUGGGGAACGGAAAAUGAGGGAGUUCACCUCUGGCCCUCACAAUCCAGUGGAGGAGACGAAACUCAUCUGCCUCUGUCCCUCUGGGCACGCCUCAUCCCAGGUGCAUCUGUGGACAGGGGCCAUGCUCCUGGGCUUCCAAAGUUGGAGAAAGCUGCCAGGCUCAGAGAAAUGGAAUCAUCGUAUCGCUGAUCUACGUAAACAAAUUGAAGAAUUGUCUGAAAGAAAAUAUGUGGAGAUGGGGUUUCACCAUGUUGGCGGGGCCAGUCUCGAACUCCUGACAUCAAGUGAUCUUCCCGCCUCGACUCCUGACAUCAAGUGAUCUUCCCGCCUCGGCCUCCCAGAGUGCUGAGAUUACAGACGUGAACCCAUGUCUGGCCAGGAAUUUUGUUUUUUAGGAAGGCUUUCUACUAAUGGAAUUCCUGGCCUUGAGAGGAUGUUACUUUUGAAGAAAAGGAUUUUUUUGUUAUUAAAAGAAACAGGACCUUGCCCUGUCACUCAGGAUGGAGUUCAGUGCUCCUAUCAUGGCUCAUUAUAGCCUCAAACUCCCAGGCUGAAGCAAUCCUACCAUGUCAGCCUUCCCGUAGCUGGGACUACAGGUCUCACACCGUCACCCAGGCUGGAGUACAGUGGCACAACCUCUGCUCACUGCAGCCUCCACCUGCCAGGCUCAAGCAAUUCUCCUGCCUCAGCCUCCCGAGUAGCUGGGAUUACAGGUAAGUGCCACCACACCCAGCUGAUUUUUGUGUUUUUUUGUAGAGACGAGGUUUCGCCGUGUUUCCCAGACUGUUCUCAAACUCCUGAGCUCAAAGCAGUCCACCCACCUUGGCCUCCCAGAGUGCUGGGAUUACAGGUGUGAGCCAUCUUGCUCAUUCUAGUUUAAACUUUUGAGUGGUUUGUGUCUCCUGAUUGGACUCCUACAAAUACAGAAUUGAUGCUAGGAAGGGUACCAGGAGAUAGACGCACACAGAUGGGAUUUGGGAAUAGGUUUGGUUAUCCAAGGAGCAGUGCUGAGCGCCUUGCUAAUGGGAUAUGGGAUGCUGGUGAUUUCCAGGAAGUGAGCUCACAAUGACUCAAGCUGCCACAUACUGUUGAUUGUGAAAUGCCAGUUGAAGCAUAUGUCCUGCGAGCUUAGGGGUGCUACAAGUUGACCACUGCAGCAGUAAAGAUGACUCUGAAGAAUGGCGUGGGAUGGAUCCUUUCAAAUGCACUUGAGCAGCGGUCUCCAACCACAGGGCCACAGAGCUGGAGCUGGAUCUACCAUGAAGGACUUCUGAAUCCAGGAAGAGAGACUGACUGGGCAACAUGUUAUUCAGGGUCUCUCUCUGUUGUCCAAGGCUGGAGGGUAGUAGUGCUAUCGCAGCUGACUGCAGCCUCAACCUUCCAGGCUGAAGCGAUCCACCCAUCUCAACCUCCCACGUGGCUGAGACUACAGGUGCUUGCCACUAUGCCCAACUAAUAUUUGGAAUUUUCGUAUACGUGGAUUCCAGAGGGGUGACAGCGAAACGUGGGACCAUCCAGUUUCAGGAAAACGAGCUUAACACGCCCACUGAUUCUACAUUAUGCUCCUACCUCCCGGCAGCCUCGCCAGGCCCAGAACUCUCUCCAGUCAGCCUCUACAGACCAAGCUCAUGACUCACAAUGGCCUAUUGAGGCCCAUACCCUACCUCACGGCAGUCUCCGCAGAUGAGCCUACUGCCUCACAACAGCCUCCACAGGCACAGCUCCAUCGUUACAAUGGCGUCUUUAGACCCAGCUCCUGCCUCCCAGCCUUCUCUCCAGGCCCUGAACUUUCUCCGUGGGACCAUCCAGUUUCAGGAAAACGAGCUUAACACGCCCACUGAUUCUACAUUAUGCUCCUACCUCCCGGCAGCCUCGCCAGGCCCAGAAUUCUCUCCAGUCAGCCUCUACAGACCAAGCUCAUGACUCACAAUGGCCUAUUGAGGCCCAUACCCUACCUCACGGCAGUCUCCGCAGAUGAGCCUACUGCCUCACAACAGCCUCCACAGGCACAGCUCCAUCGUUACAAUGGCCUCUUUAGACCCAGCUCCUGCCGCCCAGCCUUCUCUCCAGGCCCUGAACUUUCUCCGUGGGACCAUCCAGUUUCAGGAAAACGAGCUUAACACGCCCACUGAUUCUACAUUAUGCUCCUACCUCCCGGCAGCCUCGCCAGGCCCAGAACUCUCUCCAGUCAGCCUCUACAGACCAAGCUCAUGACUCACAAUGGCCUAUUGAGGCCCAUACCCUACCUCACGGCAGUCUCCGCAGAUGAGCCUACUGCCUCACAACAGCCUCCACAGGCACAGCUCCAUCGUUACAAUGGCCUCUUUAGACCCAGCUCCUGCCGCCCAGCCUUCUCUCCAGGCCCUGAACUUUCUCCGUGGGACCAUCCAGUUUCAGGAAAACGAGCUUAACACGCCCACUGAUUCUACAUUAUGCUCCUACCUCCCGGCAGCCUCGCCAGGCCCAGAACUCUCUCCAGUCAGCCUCUACAGACCAAGCUCAUGACUCACAAUGGCCUAUUGAGGCCCAUACCCUACCUCACGGCAGUCUCCGCAGAUGAGCCUACUGCCUCACAACAGCCUCCACAGGCACAGCUCCAUCGUUACAAUGGCCUCUUUAGACCCAGCUCCUGCCGCCCAGCCUUCUCUCCAGGCCCUGAACUUUCUCCGUGGGACCAUCCAGUUUCAGGAAAACGAGCUUAACACGCCCACUGAUUCUACAUUAUGCUCCUACCUCCCGGCAGCCUCGCCAGGCCCAGAACUCUCUCCAGUCAGCCUCUACAGACCAAGCUCAUGACUCACAAUGGCCUAUUGAGGCCCAUACCCUACCUCACGGCAGUCUCCGCAGAUGAGCCUACUGCCUCACAACAGCCUCCACAGGCACAGCUCCAUCGUUACAAUGGCCUCUUUAGACCCAGCUCCUGCCGCCCAGCCUUCUCUCCAGGCCCUGAACUUUCUCCGUGGGACCAUCCAGUUUCAGGAAAACGAGCUUAACACGCCCACUGAUUCUACAUUAUGCUCCUACCUCCCGGCAGCCUCGCCAGGCCCAGAACUCUCUCCAGUCAGCCUCUACAGACCAAGCUCAUGACUCACAAUGGCCUAUUGAGGCCCAUACCCUACCUCACGGCAGUCUCCGCAGAUGAGCCUACUGCCUCACAACAGCCUCCACAGGCACAGCUCCAUCGUUACAAUGGCCUCUUUAGACCCAGCUCCUGCCGCCCAGCCUUCUCUCCAGGCCCUGAACUUUCUCCGUGGGACCAUCCAGUUUCAGGAAAACAAGCUUAACACGCCCACUGAUUCUACAUUAUGCUCCUACCUCCCGGCAGCCUCGCCAGGCCCAGAACUCUCUCCAGUCAGCCUCUACAGACCAAGCUCAUGACUCACAAUGGCCUAUUGAGGCCCAUACCCUACCUCACGGCAGUCUCCGCAGAUGAGCCUACUGCCUCACAACAGCCUCCACAGGCACAGCUCCAUCGUUACAAUGGCCUCUUUAGACCCAGCUCCUGCCGCCCAGCCUUCUCUCCAGGCCCUGAACUUUCUCUGUGGGACCAUCCAGUUUCAGGAAAACAAGCUUAACACGCCCACUGAUUCUACAUUAUGAUUCUUCAGGCCCAGCAUCUGCCUCACUGUGGACCCCCCAAGCCAAGCUCCCAACCUUUCAGCAGCUUCUACACACCCAGCUCCCGCCUGCCAGUGGCCUCUUCAGGCCCAUGGGGCUCAUUCCUCACAACAGCCUUUCCAGUCCCAGUUUUUCCCUUCCGGCGGCCUCUCCGGGCUGAGAACCUCCUCAAGUCGGCCUCUCCAGACCCACUUGCACCCUCCAGGCGUCCUCUCCGGGCCAAGCUCCUCUUCCUGGCUGCGUCUCCAGGCCCGACUCCUGCCUCUCAACAACCUCUUUGGACUCAGUGCCUACCCAUCUCCUGGCGUCCUUGGUCGGACCACAGCUUCCUCAAGCCAAGCUCCCCAAGCCCAGGUCAGGCCUCACGGUGCCCCCUCCACGAUGAGCUCAUGCCCUCCAAUGGCACCUGCAGGCCCCAAAUGGUCUCCGGUCGGUGGGCUCCUCCACGCCAAGCUUGGGCCUCCCGGUGACCUCUGCAGGCCCAAGUUGUCCUGAAGUCAGCAUCUCCCGGCCGUGCCUCCCAGCAAGUAAGCAAGCUCUUUUGGCUCAACUCCUGCCCAGCUCCCAACCGCCUUUGUAGGUCCCGAACUUUCUCCAGCCAAGUUCUUUGGGCCUCAUUCCUGCAGCCCGGUGGCCUGUACGGGCCCAGCAAUGGUUGGAGAAUGGCCUCUGCAGGUCCCGCUCUUGCCUCCCA